GCGCGUAGGCGGUCUUGUAAGUCAGAUGUGAAAGCCCGGGGCUCAACCCCGGAAGUGCAUUUGAGACUGCGAGACUUGAGUAUGGGAGGGGGAAGUGGAAUUCCUGGUGUAGAGGUGAAAUUCGUAGAUAUCAGGAGGAACACCAGUGGCGAAGGCGACUUCCUGGACCAAUACUGACGCUGAUGCGCGAAGGCGUGGGGAGCAAACA
rnacentral:rRNA from 1 species